GAAUUCGCCCUUAGAGUUUCCUUCUGGCUCAGGACGAACGCUGGCGGCGCGCCUAACACAUGCAAGUCGAGCGAUGAUAUUUUUUCAGAUUCCUUCGGGAUGACGAAAAGAAGGAUUAGCGGCGGACGGGUGAGUAACACGUGAAUAACCUACCUUUGACACAGGGAUAGCCUCGGGAAACUGGGAUUAAUACCAGAUGAUAUAUCUUCAUCACAUGAUAAAGAUAUUAAAGUGAUUUAGCGGUCAAAGAUGGAUUCGCGUCUGAUGAGCUAGUUGGUGAGAUAAAAGCUCACCAAGGCAACGAUCAGUAACCGGCCUGAGAGGGUGAACGGUCACAUUGGAACUGAGACACGGUCCAAACUCCUACGGGAGGCAGCAGUGGGGAAUAUUGCACAAUGGAGGAAACUCUGAUGCAGCGACGCCGCGUGAGCGAUGAAGGUUUUCGAAUCGUAAAGCUCUGUCCCAUGGGAAGAUAAUGACGGUACCAUGGGAGGAAGCCCCGGCUAACUACGUGCCAGCAGCCGCGGUAAUACGUAGGGGGCUAGCGUUGUCCGGAAUUACUGGGCGUAAAGGGUUCGCAGGCGGAAAUACAAGUCAGGUGUAAAAGGCGGAGGCUUAACCUCCGUAAGCAUUUGAAACUGUAUUUCUUGAGAUAUGGAGAGGCAAGUGGAAUUCCUAGUGUAGCGGUGAAAUGCGUAGAUAUUAGGAGGAAUACCAGUGGCGAAGGCGACUUGCUGGACAUAUACUGACGCUGAGGAACGAAAGCAUGGGUAGCGAACAGGAUUAGAUACCCUGGUAGUCCAUGCUGUAAAC
rnacentral:rRNA from 1 species